ensembl:lncRNA
AUUUGAAUGAAAACACUCUGCCAGCCCUAUUGGAGACUGCAUGCCCCCUUGAGCAUUAUCUGCCUGUGGGACUCCCAGGCACUUUUGGGACCCUACACCCAGGUUUCUCCCGUGUAACUUCAGCAGUUUCCUUCAUGUGCUCGGCAAGGAGAUUCUUUGCUGCUAUGGCCAGUGCAGAAAGUUUGAAGAGCAUUCCAGAGGCUGUAAGAGUUGUGAUACCAUUCAGUGUCUCAGCUUUCAGCACAAAUAUGUCCUGAACUGCUAAAUAUUCAUGAUCACGUGGAAGAUGGUCACUGGGUAAAGUGGCAUGGAGGUGCUACGAAAGGGAACUCCGCAGCAUCAGUCAGCGAGGCAGGACCCGUCUCUGUGUACGGUGAAGUAUCCGACGACAGGGACAGACUGUGCAGCGCUGCGGGAGAAAGGAGACGACCAACCUGUGCUCAGAUAGAGCCCUCUGCGAAUGGAAAAGGGGUUGUUCAUCCUGGAGGAGGCUUUUAUUCGGAGCACGUGAACCUCUGGAGGCCAACACCAGCCCGCUCGAGCGCUCCCUAAACCAGCGAUCCCAACGUAGAGCAGCCAGGUGGCAGAGCAGAGGAAUUAGAGCCUCUCACCGGCUGCUCAACACUUCGCCCUGGGAAGCAGCUUCGGCAUCAGCCAAGGAAGCCUGCAAGGAACAAAGUGGGGGCAUAGUGGGAGGGCUGCACCGCAGAUGCGGUACCUGCAUGCUACAGCCCUGUGCACACCUGCACCACUCCCCAAUCAAGUACCUGGAUAACAAAGGGCAUCGAAACAUGAUGCACGAACAUCUUGCUAACUUGACAAGGAACAUACAUCAUUUGACCUGCUACUUUGUCUUAUUCGGCUCAUCUCCCAUUUGGGAAUUGCUCAGUGUCUCUGACAACACGGAAGUUCUCCACAGGGAAGUUUCCACAGGAGUUGGACACAACCCAAACAAAACCUCUAAACAAUCGACCUCCAUCUCCACUCACAGACGCUGCUGCUGA